GUGUUCGUAGAAAGGAGAGAUGGUUGGCAUCUCCCCCGACAGGGACGGGAACAGCCUUCGGUUAUAGGCCUCAUAGGUUGAAUUGGGAUUUGGAUUGCAAGGUUGGUUCCUUCAGCAGGGAUAUAU
rnacentral:ncRNA from 1 species